rnacentral:lncRNA from 1 species
AUAAUCAUAAUACAACUUAAAUAAAUUUCAACUAAGUUCUAAUUUAACCCUAAUUGAAAUUUCAAUAGACUUCAAUCAAAUCCUAGACAAAUUCUAAAUCCUAAAUCAAAUUCUAACUAAAUCUUAAAUCCUAAAUCAAAUCUUAGAAAAAUCCUAAUCAAAUCCUAAAUUCUAAACCAAAUCCUAAUCAAAUCCUAAAUCCUAAAUCAAACCCUAGACAAAUCUUAACAAAAUCUUAAGGUAGUUUAGAACCUUAAUAUCUUUUAAUUAAAUUAUUGAUCUUAUUUAAAAUUUUACUUAUCUUUCAAUCUCUUAGUUAUAAAUAAAUAAAAUGAAUUUCAAGACAAUUGUACUUAUCAAAUGAAAAAAAAUCCUAAAAUCUACUUGAAUGUUGGCCGCUGUCCUUCUCUAACCUUGAUAUUGAUCUUCUAGUCCUAAUAUUUCAUCUUUGUACUAUUCA